UCAAGUUUUGUUGUUGUUGGGUCUCUGUCCUUAUAAGAUGUCUGGGUAAAAACAUGAGAGUAAGAAUAGGCAUUUUCAACUUAUUAUAAUGGCCGAUAAUGAAUAGAUAUCUGAUUAAGUUUUGAAUUCUUGGAAAUUGUAGCUUUCAUGCAAAUGAUGAUUAUGGAAGGAUUUGAGUUCAAUGAGUUUGAGAAAUUAACCCCACUGUUCAUGGCUUGUGAAUAAUAUAGUUUGCUAUAAAUUUAUGUUGAUGACAUUGAUUCCCUAUAUCUUUAUUAUUAGGAUUUGGAAUUAAAAUGUUACAAUCAUAUGAAAUUUUAAUUAAAACAUGACAAGUAUAUAAUUUAGUUGAAAAACCAUGCACUUAAUAGCAAAAAUUAUGCAAUUGUCAUUUUUUUAUUUCUCAUAGGCGUCCUCCUACUAGAGGCCAAUUCAAGGUCCGGUUAAAUACUAAAUGUGGGCACCUUUCUUAAUGGAGAUUCAAACCUUAAUUAGUUGCAUUAUGAAGAACUAGCUUUUUUUGCUAGACUCAACCCCCUGUUGAUUAUGCAAUUGUCAUUUUAUCACUUAACAAAAUUAUAAAUUUAUCAUAUUUUGAUUGAACAAUUUCAUAAUGAUAUAAGUAAUUAGGGGAUUGAAUAUAAGUUUAGAAAGAAAAACUUGAUUACGAAUAUGAAAUUAUGUUAUAAUUUAUGAAGAAUCAAAAAUUUGUUUGAACAUUUAGAUCUACAUAGAAAAUCCAGAAUUACUUAUCUUUAUAAGCCUGCUACAACUCAUGGUGUUAAUCAACAGUAUGGUUUGCUAAUUGCUAAGAACUACAUUCCUAUUUAAAUUUUUAUCUGUACCAUUGAAUUGAUCGAAAAUUGGAAGUAUAUCCUCCAUAGAUUUUAAAACUUGUCAGUGCCUGAAUUACAUGGAGCCAAUUCACCAUUUACUAUUACAGUUUCACACCGGAGUUAAUAUUGCAUUGCUCAAGUCCUGAAGGCACUACAAAGUCGUGAUAAAAGACGUAAUCGAAAACAUGAUUAGAAGUGAAAUAACAGGAUAGUUCUACCUACCCUGGAUGUUUGUGAUAGUGACAUGAUAAUUGGAGGUAGAAUUUUGUUGAUUAUGGGAACUCUUUGCAAAUGCAGCCUGCCAAUUGACGAAAGCUGGUUGCUUGGGGAAAGGCAAAUUGACAAUCUUGCUGUGCAGCAUUAAGAUAACAGAAUCCAUGUGAAGAUUUGACCAUUCCACGGACCUCCACGCCAAUACGGGUGACUGUUGUUCCAAACGAACAGUUGAGGAACUGUACUCUGUCCCAUAUAAGCUGUAAAGCUUCCCACGGAUGGAUCAGAAGGGCUCUUCCAUGAUGUCAACAUGAAUUUCUGACCUGUUUGUGCAUUAAAACCACCAUUAGUGCGUUGCAGUAUUGUAUUAGAAAGAUGGUGGAAGCUUUGCCAGAUCACUAUUCCUGUGAUGUUGUUCUGCACCACAAGAUUUCCAGAAUCCUGAAGCUGCAAGAUGACAUGGGACGUGUCAUUGUCUGAUCCAUCUGAUGACCAAACAACAUGUUCCUCUCCAUCUAGCAUGACAAGAUUGCCAUUCUCAGAUAUCUUCAGAAUCCCAGGAGAAUCUGUGAGAGGUUCGUUUCUGUUAGCCACCCAUACCACAGUGGUUUUUAACACGUACCAAAUUCCUAGGUAACGAUUGGAUGAAUUCUCAGGGCUGAAAAAUCCAAGUGUGAAAUUGGUGCUAUCAGAGGUAAGGGUAUCAGGAUCUUUCAUGCUCUCAGAUGCCGUAAGAGUAUCUAAGCCACAGCUAAAGAUGAAAAAUAGUAAGCACAUAUGAGGAAAACACCUAAAAAUUCUGUAUAAACUCUGACACCCAUUGGGUUAGUACUUUUACAACCAAAAAAGUGGGUUUUUCGUCUAUCUGUUUCUUCCCUUUUCAUUCUUCCUUCAUGGGUUUAUGGCUUUUCAAUGGGUUCAUGGAGCGUAAGUUUUUCAAUCGGUUCACAGUUUGUCUCCUGCCUCUUGAUGACUGCUAUUUUCUUGAUGUGAAAGGAAUAAUCUGAGUUUUUCUUACCCUUUUUUGUUUUCCUCUCUCCUGAACAUGUAUUGAGAAUUUAGGAAUAAUAAAAUUUUUAGUCUUUCAA